rnacentral:lncRNA from 1 species
AUUUCGUGUAAAUAAAAAAAGUGAUAUAUUUGAUGUAGAUCAGAAGAAACAGUUAAUUUCAGCGGGAAUUGUAUCUGUAUGAAGGUAAUCGAGAAAAGAUGAGAUUGUUGAUCACAUAAAUAUGACAUUAUGAGAAAGCUCGAGUACAGGGUCGACGAUAUUUUUCGAUAACACCCACGUGAGGCACCAAUGGCCGUACAUUUAUUUGAGCUCCAUAUUUGUCCAAAGUCUAAUAUUUGCGGACCGUUCGAAGAUCAUGGUUUUGGAGGAGCAGCUGAGUAAAGAGUUGGGGAGUGUAUAAACCUUCAAAGGUCGGCUGCAAUAAUUCAAAACGGAAUUCUGCUCUCCCUGUCUCUAUGAAACAUAGUUUAAAUCAAUACCACAGACGAUCAUAAAAUUCCCUACGACAAUGAAGACCGUUUGUCAUUCUGAAAUUUUAAUACAAAAAAUUGAAACGUCUUAUAUAUAGUUUAUAUCUAUACAUAUAUACGUAUUUUAAUUCGCAUCUUUUCACAUAGUCGCAUAUUUUGACUGUUAUUUGGUGUUCCCGAAUAAUGAGAAUAACUUUGAAAAGAAAAAGCUUUCGAUUUUUAUCGCUAAAGGACAAAGCUAAUUUUUAAUUCACGAAAAAAUACACUCCUGAAAUUUGACACCACACUCAUGCAAAGCGCUCCGCACGUGUAGGAGUUCGUGUCCAUAACGAGUUAACAGGAUUCCACGAACAGCAUGUGGAUAGAAGCUCGAGGGCAGACUUGCGGGGAACAAGGGAUAUAAAGGAACGAUUCGGAAGCAAUUCGGUAAGUACAUGUCGAUUUAUGUCCGGGAAUCGCCGAUAGCUCACCUACGCCAUUUUCUCCCCCCAUGUUCGGCUGGAUCGCCGAGGAUAACUCCGUAAGAGAUCCACGGAUGUUAUUGUAUGAGAACGUCGAUCGUUCUCAAUCCUCCCACCAUAUUUUAUACACCCGGUAUAUAACGCGUAGAAGAACGUUUCCGAUGGUCUAUCUUAUGACGUUAUUUGCGAAGUGGUCCGAAUGGAUGAGUCGUCGACUGUCGAUCCGUCGAACGACACUGGAGAGGAGGAGAAGACGCGAUCGACAAACUUCGACCAAGAAAUUAUGAGAAGCCUUUUUUCCUAGAUUACACGAAACAUCCAAUCGAUAUCACGUAAGCGGGACGAAGGAGAAGUGGAUUCCACAGCACGGCAGCGGGGAUUUCUUUUUCGCGAAACCUUCGAUUUCAUCUGCCACCGAGAUCGUAAAUAUCGCCGGUUCUAACGGCGACAUUCGUCUGGUGACGCUAGAUAAUGGUAUUGGAUGGAUUUUUUAUACCCUCGCAUAUAUUCUCUCAAGAAAAAGUAAGAUUCACGGAGCAUCGCGACAGUGAGAUUUGUUCUAUCGACAUGUUAUGUACAAAAGAUGAGUGUAAAAAUAUUGAUAUUAAAAAAAAUUUAACGAUGCAGAUCAGUAUGUAACACGCACAUACACUUGAUAUUAAUUCUGAUAUUUAACAUUAACAUUUUACAACAAAAUUCGUGGUACUACAGAGAAAUGUAUUACUCUUAGAGCUUUCUCUUAAAGCUUAUGAAUAACAUAAGUAUAUGUAUCGACUAUAAAAUACAUUUUAUAGUUUAUAAAAAUAUAUCGUAAUAAAAAUCACACGUGCGGAACAAGGAACGGCAAACCGUAAUUCUUGAACGAUCCGGUUAUCGGACUUUUUGACCCGCAAUAGGCCUUCGUAGCGGCACGUAAAUUAUUCAGAUGAAUUUGCGGCGCUGGUGAAUAAUCCGGUUGCGCGGUGACGGGCCAAUGUUUUUCAUGCGGCUAUCCCUCAUUUGGCUUAUCUCUGAUUCUGACUAAGACUAAUGCGGGCGAUUCGCUCGAUCGUUUGUAACCCCCUCUGACCCUUGUGGCCAGCUCGCACUCAUUUACCCCCGAGGACCACCCUCUUCGGUCUUCGGUCCUUUGCUGACUAACACGCUCUCAUUUAUCGGCAAGGAACCGAUGUCUGUCCCGCGGAUAUUAGUUCGAGGAAAUGCCAAGAUCACUCACUAGGCUAGAAGGUAAAAGAAGGUUUCAUUCGAUUUGCCAGAUCGCGGCAUAUUGCAAUUUUUUUCCAAAUUUUUCACUUCAACGGAUCGAUACUGUUGCAGAACGAGAAAAAACGAUCGUAUUGUGCUCGCAUUUUUCCGUUUAGAAAAAUUGGCGCACAGAGACAUCCUAGAUUGACGUGACUUAUGUCACAAUCGCUUUCGAAUUGCGCCACCAUCAAAGUCUAAUUUUCUGGAUACGCGUAAGAGGACCGAAAACGAUCAGGAAGGGGUUUUCUCAGUUUCGCCGGUGCUAUAUAACUCGUAUAACUGCCGCCCGGUUUCCUAUGCUCGAAUAACGUUGCACUUAUCGUGGUUUACGUUCCGGCGCUUCUUUCUCCCGAGAUAUCGACUUUUAACGAUCGGAACGGGGAAGCCGGCUAUGAGAGGGCAAAAGUGGCUGCGCUCCGGUUUGCCGGAAAACGUAUGGGUCCUACCCUCCUUUACAUCCUACUUUUUUACGGCGCGCCGCAAAGCCUCCGCGCUCCCGAGAUGAGGCUCUUCGUACGCCUGCCGUGACACGUUCCCGUAUAAUUUCACCGGAUCGCGCGAGAAUAAAGCCAAGUCGGCGCGCGGCAGGAAAAUAAAAAUAACUAGCAGCACAGCCAUUACCCUAAUCGCCUGCUCCUCGGACGGGCUCCAACCAAGCGGGUAUUUCACAUUGCGUGAAUACGGAUCGACGCCGACGUCGAACUGGUUCUCCGCUGCGAGAGUUCCUGCCGCCUCUGCGUAUCCUCUUCCCGGAACGUUUCCCCAUUUGCCUUUCUCUUUCUUCAUCUCAAUGCGCUUGAUGCCUGUCCCUUUUUCUCUCGCUGGCAUCUGCCUCCUGCUCGAGCUCUUCCGCGUCUCUCCUCUCCCGUUCCCUUCGUUUAAUUUCUUUUCCGACCUCCGCCAUCGGUAAUACCGCGUUUCUAUAUCACCGAAGUCUGGAUCCUACAUCAGACGGCUCACACGCGAUUUACUAAGAAAUUCAUUGGCUAAUGAAAUUAAAUUCCUGCCGGCCGUUCGUCUCACUCCGCGAGGGUCCUCCAGAAAGUUUAUGCGUCGUAUUGAGUUCCGCGAGUUCCACGUCUCGUUGUCCUCUUUUCUCCCCCGUUCCUUUCCCCCGCCAGCGCUCGCAAACUGAAGCUGGGCGCAAAAAGUAAUCCAAAAAUAAUUCCCUUUGCUCACCUCCCUUUAGACCGUCGCGCGUCCGUAUCGCACGGCAAACGCGACGAAGAAAAUGAGACGACGAGAGCUGGUCGGGCCGGGAAAUAAAGAAAAGACGAAGAAAAAAUGUCGACUCCACAGUCGGUCCUCGUGCCUCGUGCAAAUAAUUGGAACGUGCUGAACCCCUCGAGUUCUCGGGUACUCUUUUAAUUUCGCUCCUGGCCUCCCUUAAUUCGUCGCAGGUAGUUAGAAAAGACACUCCCGGAACUACUUCCCGCCUCCCUUGCCAUCUUCGUGUACCUUCCGUUCUCGUCUGCGCAUUGCAUUAACUUGCGAGCGGAAUCUCGCAGGAACUCUGCCGGACCGAAUCGCUGCGGUGAGAUUUUUAAAUAAGCACGUCAGGAGGAGGUGACGGCAAGUACGAUGUUGACUCCUUGAAACUUGAGCGCCAUACGCCUUCGACUACUUCGGGUAUAACUACUCUUGUCAUAAGGAGCUUUCUCUUCCACUUUCACAACUUCUUCUACGCGCUUUAAAGAUUUUUAAUUUCGAUAGCGUCGCGCGCGUGAAAUUCAACGCGAAGUUUGCGGAGGCUUAAUUCGCAAUUAAGCUGGAAGUCUUAAUGGCUGUAACGCUGUAAAAUGUAGCGACCACGUUUCAACGUUUUACGGUUUACGAUCACCACGAAAAAUUGAGCACUGAAAUUGAUUUGCAGAACACAGCAGCCUCAAAAUGUUGCUCUCGCGUGACUCGACAAGCCGCAUCGCGGAUCGUACGUGCACGGUGAGUCAUAAUUAAAAAUCUAAUUGGCAGCAGAUACCAUUUUUUUCGAUGCGGCAAAACUUCUUUUUCAUUGCCAAUUAUUCGAGCUCCGGCACGGAUGCACACUUGAAAUUUCCAAAUGGUUCUGGUGCGCUUUUAACGAAGUGCGCAAUGUUUUAUGAGUAUUAUUUUUUACGCCGCAUGGGAACGCAUUGCAAGCGGUGUUCGUUUCACACACCGAGCUUUGUAUUCUAUUUAGAGGCCGCACGUUGUUCAGUCUCGUCGAUCGACAAUUCGUGCGUUUUUUUCAAUUCAUCACAAAAUCCCGUUUUUUUCGUGAAGCUUUUUUUCGUGAAAUAUCGAAAAGGAUUCGGUUACUUUAAAUAUAUUUAUCGAAGCAAGAUAGUGACAUCGUCAUGCGUUAAAGCAUUAUCGAUGUCUAGAAUUAUGACCAAUCGGCCGGAUCGAAAUGCGUCAUUAUUAUAUCUCAUUCAACGAAUAUCACGAAAUGAAACUAUCACUUUCUGCAACGGACAGAUAUCUCAGGGUAGUGGCGCCGUCCCAAAAGAACGAUGGCGGCAGCUUCUUUUUUAUAUCCCGCAGGGGGGAUAAUCUUGUUUUUCUACUGGAGAAUUCCCUCUGGGAGAAUAAGUCAACGGUGGCUUCGGGUGUCUUCAGGAGAGAGAGAGAGAGAAAGAGAGAGAGUUAAUUCGUGGUCCGCUGCAGGCUGCAGGCUGUUUACACGCACAGGGUCUCAGUGAUGUAUUCGCGCCUCGAAUUCGCGGCUUCCUUGCCGACCACCCACGCCUCGAACUCGAUCGUUUUCAUUCUCUUGCUGGACAUAUAUGGCAUUGGGACGAAUAUAUUGAAAAUUCACAUAAUUGUAAGAUUCAUGCUCACUACUAGUCUUAUCAAAUGCCGAAAUGAAAAAGAAAUUAUCGUCAUCACGCGUGCGGGUUAAAGUUUUAUUAUUUAUAUUCACUUAUAUAAGAUAUAUUAUAUAAGAAUAUUAUAUAUUCUUUCUGUAUAUUCAUCACAGAAUUAUUUAGAACAUCUUUACUUAUUGUACAAAACACUAUCAUAAAUUUAGAAUUCUUAAUAUGGCGAACUAAUUUUAGUGCUAAAUAAGGUUUGAAAAAUCAUCUUAAGAAGCUUUUCCGCGUUGACAGCAGGUGGAUUAGCGAACAUGCGGUUGACGGAUAAGGCUUGUCAAUUAAUUACCCUUCCUUGUAUAUUCAAGUUCGGGGAGUUCGCACCCUCUAUCGUUUCAUGGGAUUAUCAUGACACGACAAGCUCCGCUUAUGCUCGGUUUAGGAUCUGUCUGAACGUUUCAUUUUAAAGACAAUAUCAUUUUGCGUUGACACGCGUGAAUCUCCAUCAUCAUGUCCCACCUAUAUACAAAUAAGCAUAGUUUAUUCAUACUAUGAAUCGUUAUUCCCGAUGUUCUCAGAAAUUUUCUGAGAACAUCGGGAAUAACGAUUGUCCUAACUACAUCCUAAACUACACGUCAAGAAACUGAACACUUAGGAAUUUUAUAAUCCUCAACUCCGAAACUCGCACAAUUAUACGGCAAACACAUCAAUAUGCACCAAUGUGCACUAAUCUACAUUUAAUAAAGCCGACGCAAGCAGGUCACAUUUCUCAGGUAACGUUACACAAGAUUGAAAUUAUCGUUGCAAGAUCAGAACGAGCUAAAAACUAGGGCGACGUUACGCAAUGUAUUUGGUAUCGCGUGAGCAUUAUCACGGCUACGAAAUUAAUAGGUGCGAGGGAAAUCGGAUCAGGAAGCGUCUAGGUCGAUAUGGCGACAGCGGUAUAAUAGCAGUACGGCGGUUACGCCGAGCUUAGUAUGAGACACGAACGAAGGGGUCAGGAUUUGGGGUCGGCGUGAGGUCGCGGGCGAGCCGCAGAGGUGCGUGCGAGAGCAACUGAAUCUUUGAUGCCGGAGGUCGAGUCAAACUACCCUUUCCUACGUACCGGGGAGAAUCUCCCCACGAGGAAUAUCCGUGAUCGCCGGCGACGGUUAACAGCGACCAGCUACGUCGAGGGAAGUUCGCUUACACGCGGCUGUAACCCUUUACUGCGGACCAUAUCUACUCGGCGGAGCGACAGUAACGAGGUCAUCUUUUUACUCGAAAGGUAGCACGAACGUCGCGUAAGUCUCCGAGUCGAAUGCACUCCUCCCUCUCAAAAUCCCCGCGAUCCCCGUAGCGGAAUCUAAUCUCCUGCUCAAUUACUCUCUCGUUAUCCGGUGGAAGUAAGAGCGCCGGCGAGAUGAGAUUCUCGUGUGGAAACAACGGCGCUGACGCGCCUGAAGGGUGACCUGGUUGAGAAAUUUCACGUGUGCGCAGAAACAAGUGACGCAUGAGUGAUUUGCACGAUCGGUUGAUUGCUCGAUGAGAGAGACGAUUGAGACAACUUAAUCGAACUACGGAACCGCGCCGGAAUUAGUUGUAUCGAUUUUAUGGCACGUAUUGCAUGCGCAAUGUAGCAUUUGUGUCGCGUGAUUUUAUUAUAACAUGCGUAGUGAAACUGGAUGAAGCGAAGUGGAAACAUGCGGAUCAACGAUCAAAAGCUUAUACAGUUUUACGUACAAUUUAGCUGCACGUGUACACCGCGUUUGCCUGGUCCAUCAACUUUAAGCACGAUCGCGAGUGUCAUCUACGGAAGUAUGGGUAAGUGGAUACACGUGAGCGGAGUUGGCGCAUGUACGUGUGUUUUCUCAAUUACAAAGAUUCAAUUAUAUAAAGAUAAAAGGAAAAAGAGAAUCUCUCUCUUAGCGGACAAGAAAUCGUAAUUACGUUAUUGUGAUAUAACGGAAUUGUGUAACUUUUACAAUAUACGAAAAGAACACAAUCUAAUUUUCUAAAAAGGAAAUUACUAGUAGAUUAAAUGUAACGCAUAAGGAUAAUAUUACAGAUAAAACUAGCAGAUAAUAUUCCAAAAUUCUAUGGAUUAAAAGUCCCGUUAUUCUCGCAAUUAGUGACGCACGUAGCAAUUUGCUCAUGAAAUUUUAUAAUCGUUAAUCGAAUGCGUAUAUUCGCGAGUACACUUGAAUAUGAAAACAUCGAUACUACUACUGGCACCAAUUGUUGACUAUCAGCGAGUAUAUCACGCAAAUGCAAAAAUUAGAAAUUACGAUGGUCCGACGUGAACGUAAAUUAGCGAAGCAUGAUACAUUGUUGAUAACCAACUUUGUCAUUCAAUACCUUUUCUCUCUAUUCAUAGAAAAUCAAAACGAGCCACUCGUCGAACGUGCUAAAUGGCAAUGAAACGCGAUACGCUCGUAUUCAAAUGCGUCCAUUCCGAAUCACGCACAGUGAAUUUGUGAAGCGAAUUUUGUCUUUUUUUUCAUACACGCAUCAACGCGGUUGGUCAAAAGAGGAUUACUCCAGCGGAUGGUUCAGUCGGGAGCCUUUAGAUUUCGCCCACGCAAGAAGGUGUUACCAUCCAUGGCGUUUAAGGCGGGACGACGACGGUAGCUCGAUUAAGUAACAGGGUUUAAUGUCUAUGCAAAGUAAAUUGUUGCUCGACGAAGCCCGAUCGUGGCUCGAAAAAGAGCCGAGAGGGUUCGCGAGGAGAAGAAGUAGGAGGAGAAGAGGAAAAAACGAAGUCUGGUAUAAUCGAGAGAUACGGCGAAACCGGAAAGAGCGGGGGUGGAGCAGCUGGGCUACAAUUAAAUGAAGAGGACACCACCCACCGAUAGCGCCCAGGAUAAGUUCCUUUAGCGAGUGAUUAAAUUUUAAUCCACUUCUAAUUAGAUUUUUUGUCAAGCUCGACGUAAGAGCGAACGGCCAAGACCAUUUUGAAGAGAGAAGGUUAGGACCCGAGUAAGCGAAGAUGCAACUUUCGUGUUAAAAGGAUUCAUUUUAAUCGAAACUUUUUAAUGAGAAUCGGUUGUUCGGUAUUUUAAUGUCAUUAACACUGACUCCGCUGAUAACUCUCUAACGUCGGCACUCGCUCAGAUGUGAGUCAAGUCGGAGAAUUCCGUUCUUCGAGCAUUGAUUCCAUUGUAUCUACCUUGUUCUUGCUCAAGAGAUUUGGAAUAAAAGUGUGAUUAAAAAUACAAUAAACAUCUGCUUCCCAUCAUCAUAAUGUAAUUACAAAGAUUGGUAUAAUUAACAAGCAACAUCAUUAUCGAUAAGAUAUGCGCUUUUAAUCCUCCUAUUAUUCAAACUAUUCAAACAGAAUUUAUAUACAACUUACAAAAUUAUACGCCAACAUGUUUGUCUAUCGCUAUAAAUUUACGAUAUAGGUUUACUAAACGUCUAAACCUCGACGCGAAUCAUCUAAUAAUAUUUCCCUCGUAACAUAAUCACAGAGAUCCGGAUAAAAGAUACAUUCGAUUCCGCAAUUUAUCGUUGAUAUGAAAAUCGCAGUAAUACCGCAGACACUGCAAUCUUCGUCGAUCUGACCGGGCAUCUGCGAAUUUGCACAGUUCCGGGUUUCUAACAUGGACGAUUCGACGAGCAAACAAACGACGAGCGAAUUUGGCAGCUCUCCUUUGGCGAGCCGGCCAGCGCCGCUGUGCUGCCGUCCCGUCGUUCCUCUUCGCGAUCGUUCUACUUUGCAUCUCGGUGCACAUCCUGCCUGAGCUGCAUAGCCCAUCAUUCUCUCGUUCCGCUGUUGGUUCCUAUCAAGCGUCGAUGGUUCGGACAUGCAAGCACCGAGGCGAGCUCGCGCCUCUGGUCAGUAGUUACCGCAGGAACCACCGGUCGGUUUUGCUUCUGGCCAGGCCUCGCCCGAACUAGUCUUCGCGUUACGCGCCGACAAGUAGUCAGUUAGAUUACCAUUAUAGCUAAACGUGCACGACUAAGAAAAGGCCUACGGUAUCCCUUCAACAACGCUCCACCGCCGUCCCGUAAUUUCCAAACCACCUUUCAGACGCCGCGCGGCACCGUUCCUCUAAUUGAAUUAGCCAUCCGGAAUUAGCGAUCUGAGAUUAGCACCGCGGUUGCUUCCUGUCUUCCGAAACUGACCGAGAGAAUUGAAUCAUACGUCCAUUACGUAACCACGUAAUUAGAGAGAGCAUAACGAAUUGUAAUGAGUACAGUGUGCGUGUCGUUUAUAGAACUCGAGAACCGAUAGAGUCGGGAUGAGACAAAGAUCGGAAUCCUAACGCUUGAUGGGUGUCAGUGAAAUACGAGAGCACUCGAGCACUCCGCGUUUGCCCGGUGCUCCAGCUUCUAUCUCUCCGCGCGCUGCGAGUAGAUGGACCCUGACCGCCGGCGUCGUCGCGCAAUUCCGAGUUGUAAACUUCAACGGCAGGAUAAAUGGACGUUAAUAGAAUGUAUAAGAGCACAGGGCGAAGCGACAGAGGCGGAGACAGGACGCGGAGGAAAUAAAAGGUAGAACCGAUCGGUUCGAUCUCCUUACUCGGCUCGGUCGCCUUCUUACCACGUGGCGCAGGUGGAUCGACGAUACUUAUCUGGCAAUAGCUAUUUCCUGGGACUUUCGCGGGAAACAAGGGCCCCGCGUCUUUGUGUGUCGUCGUCUGUCAUCGCCAAUCCUCGCCAAACGAUCGCCGUCUCUCGUGCGACUUCCGCGUACGACUCUUUCACCUCAAUCGUGGUGCAGUGCCCUUUGACGUUUCUCGAGUAUCGAUCGCGUUCGACUUUGAAGGUCAUCCUACUCUGGAAAAACGAGUUUUUCCGGUAGUGAACUGGAAAUUCCCGAUGCUAUAGAACUAUUCACUUUGUGUGUCUGUAUUAAGAGAAAAGUGCUAUUCGUGGUAUUUUCAAAAUCGUAUCAAUUUGUGUAUUUCCUAUAAUACACGAUUCAAAAGAACUAAAAGAUUAGAAAACUUCUACUCGAAAAUGCAAAAUGUAAAAUACAUUUUUUCCAUAUUUUGUGAUAUGAAUUUUUGGAUAAUUAUAUACGUAAACAAUAAAUGUUUAAAAAUACAAUUUUCGGUAGAAAUCACUCAUAUCUUCUAGAAGUUGGCUCUCAAGCGCAGCAUCAUUUUACAUAUCAUGUAGAAGUGGAAUGAACUGGGAAUACAUUUCGCCUGUCGACAGCAUCAUCCCAUGUGGCAUAGACAAAAUAGAAAUAUGCAGAAACGAAAGAAGAAAGACAGAUAUUAUAGUAACUAGGCAAAGAUAUAUUACGCUAGUUCGUUGUUGGUCUUGAUUGCCAGAUAUUCAACGGCGCUUAGCGUAGAUGAAGACGGCGGGUGGCAUUUAAUGUCGUAACAUCAUGCCGCAACGUUUACGCCAUGUAGGCAUACUCAAGGCAAUAAGAUCUAAUGUGAUAUACAGCAGUUUAUACAGCAGUAUCCUGAAAUCGAGUCGGGAGGAUAUCAUUUGCGUAUCGUUACCACCGUUACAGCGUUAUGUACGCUGCGACUGUUAAAAGGGUCUGCCAAAGGCCCGCUUCUGCGCGCGGUAAAUUUUGCAUCUCGCACUCUGCAUAUGCAUGCCUCGGCAGAAACGAAAUCAUCGACUUACGAGAUUCACAGGGAGCCGCGCGCUUUUCAUUGCUGCCAUUAGUGGGCUAUCUCCUUCGUCAGCGUAUAAUUUACGCGAGCGUUUUAUCCGUUAACGUCACGGUUCACCGAGCAUCUUCUCACCGUGGCCAAACGAUUUACAUGGAAUUAUCAAGAAGAUCGCAAACGAUCUGUUCACAAUGAGAAGUUACUGUAUGUACACAGUUGACCGAUUUGCUUGGUCCACGCCGUUAAUCGCGAUCGCACGUUACAAAGUUCCGUGUCACUGAGCCAUUAAAAUCCGCUUAAGAUGGUCGCGUAAUGCGAAGAAAAUGUCGGGCGCGUGGUAGAUCGCGCUAUGAACUGGAAGAUACACGCGAGUCAAAUUUAAUCGACCAAUUUCGUGCGCUAUAAACUGACUUGCCAUUCAAAAUCGAGUCGUCGAUGCGCGAGUCGCGCAAUCCUCACACGACCGCGAGGAACGUCCACGAAAAAAGAAGGUGACAAACCAGCUUAAUGGCUGACACGGUGAAACGCGUAAAAUCGCGCACAUUACAGCCUCUAGCGGCAACAUCAGCGAGAACAGGCACAGGGGGCUUGAAGUCUAGGUCGAAGUCUCGGCGAGAGGCUUGCAAGUCGAACGCCCGCGUAGUAAUUUACGCUAUAGGAAACGGCGGGACACGAGGUGGGUAACGCGAGACUUGGAGGCGCCGUACGCAAACCGUCUCGCCUCGUUCUCGCGGGAUAGAUGAGCUGCUUCGUGUACGCUAAGUGUGCUCUCCCUUUCUGCCGUGCGGCAGGAGCUACCGUACAGGUACUCUCGUUAUCUGAUAUUAUUACCUGCUAAUACCCCAGGUUCGACUGCCGUGCCGUGGAGAGUAUUUAGUAACCCUAGAUCCGGCAAAUCGGAUUCGCUCUGUCCCUUUCCUACGGUUUGAUGCCUCCAGAAUCCUGGAUCCUCCCCUCCCUCGCUUCCUCUCGCUUCCUGUACGUCUAUUCCCGUCUCUAUCUUCUUAACGAUUAGAAAUGCGAGUUCUACGUGUUCCGUAUCGCUAAACGCAUCUCGUCUGCGAUAUACGUUCCGCUCGUUCGAUUAGAUCAGCACGUACGUGCAGUCCUGCCGUCACGGACGAUGUAACGAUGCUCUUGUUGUUGGGAACGAUCGAAUUAACAUCGCUCUACAAACGUCGCCGCGGUCGGUUCGGUAUUGCCUGAACCGCCCGGAUACCUCGGUAAACAUUCGCGACUACACUAUAGGAGCUCUCGAGCACAAAAGCUACUUUGGAUCGGGCAAGCGGAAAGCCAUCCUUUCCCUGCAAACGAAAUGAACUCCGGGAAACUUCGCUACUUAACCGCGGGAGAAAUUGCGACUUUAUAUAGGCGCCCUUAAGAAAAACAACGCGAAACUGGCAAUGUUUAAAAGCAUACCCUCGGCACGCACUUUAGCAUGUUUAUUCUUUCAUCGAGAGCAGAAAUCGAUUCUCAAUUCGUCAAAGAAUCCGUACUUGAGAGACGCGUGAAGAUGAUUUUUACGAUGACGGGCGUGACUUUACUUACUCUUCGCGUUCGGAUCAUAUAACUCAUUUAAUCAAAGAUAGUCUUAUCCGCGCGUUAUGUCUAAUCGGAGUAUCGCAUAAUGCAGUAACAUCACUUACAAGUCGCCAUACGAUAUGUCUUACGUUACCGUAGUAUACAUAGCUGCACGUUAUUCACGAAAAUGGUGAAUAUUUCAAAUAAAGCGUGACUGCUGGGAGAUAUAUAUCUCCGCGUUCCAUCUCCCCGUGAGCCCCACCGCAUAUAAGGUAUAUCAUAUUCACGCAUGCAUGCAUCAUGGUUAGUACGUCGUAGCUGUCAGACAUCGGCGAGGUGUAUCUAACGUAAGCCGAGGCGUCUUCAACUUGAUUACCCUAACGACAUCAUGACCGACGGCGUCAUCUGAUAAACUAAUGCAAUACAACAAUAGGAAAGUCGCGCGAAAUGGCUCGUGCAGCAAAUAGAGGCAAAAAAUUUCCUGCACUCGUACCACUUCUUAAUUUUCUCAUUUUUUUCUGAAAGAAGAGAAGAGUAUGAUGCACGUUUUUCAUGAUUUUGAGACUACAGUUAUCCUGAAAAGCCGUCCGAAAAAAUCGAGCAUUUCGAUAGCCAUGCAAAUGACCAUUACCGUUUUUAAGCGCCCGCGAUGCGAUCCCGCGGCGCAUCGAAAAACCCGUGAAACGGGCAUUACUACUAGCGACAUCAGCAAUUUUCGCGCGAUCGCGUACAGUGCCAACUUGAGAGUGAUAAAACAAAUUGCACUGGUGAUUCCAAGUGACCGCAGGCGAGCACGUGGCGCACUCGUGGAAAUAGUCAGCGUCGUCCGACUCGCUCCAGGAGGAUUUUCGGCGUCGCUUGUGGUCGCGGCUGCGUUUAUCGCCCACGAAUGGCUUUCUUUUUUGCUUACGAGCGAGUCGUGCGAGUGCGAAAGGGAUGCACGCGGUAUACAGCGCGGUCCUCUGUAUUCGUUCCACCUCGUAUUCCACUUCCGCCAUACCACCACGCCGAAGAGCCCCUUUACAGGGAACGCUAUUAAAUCAUAUCAGGUUCAGCCGGCAAUUAUUUAGGUAUUAGCACUCUUUCCCCGCGCGCAGCCCGUGCAUUCGCGUUCGACGCUGCUGCUGCUGCAGCGAUCGGCCUCGCCAUCCGCGCUUCAUCCGCGCCAAGAAUUUUUUGCUCGCACCGUGCAUCGCGCCGACUACGGCGCAACGCGUUUUUCGCGCUCAGCGAAAUUCCGCAGUAGCCUCGUUAAGGGCCGCCGCCCUUCCCUGCGCUCGCCGCCUGUCGCUUGUUAUGCACGUUAAGAUACGAGAGAAGCUCUCUUCGUGCCAAGACUCAUUAGAUGGAAAUGCUCUUACAUUACUCCUGGCCAAUAUGGUUUGUUUGAUCUUUCUUUUUUUCUUUGGCAUCCGAUCCGCAAUCGCCUCCGCUCAGCGUUUAUCACUUUCACUCAUCAUUCGCAUUUUCAACGCUUCGUUACUUUUCUCGAUGGACACGGGCUUUGAAGUCUAUCGAUAGAUUAAUCGUAGGAUAUCGCUUUGCGUUGUUGCAACGUAAGUAGAUAAUGUCGACCUAAUGGGCACGAUUUAAUUCCGAAAUUGGCGGCGGACGCAGAAAGGGGAUAAAUAACUCGUUAUUGCAUUCGAUAAAACGUCGCGUGACUCGGGUCCUUAGGACGUGCAGUCGCCGCGUGCAGGCUCGUGAGCAGAGACCCUGUCGUUUCAUUUCUCACAACAAAUGUGCGCACGGUAAUAAGAGGACCGGCGUAUAAUGAGUCAAGAUCGAUUUCUUGAUCGCACAUCAGACUCACGAAUCGAAAAAAGACCUACCUACCCGUUCGCCGAAAGGUUUUAUUGAGAAUUGAUUUGCAGGACGCGAUCAUUUGCGCGAGAUGAUAGCCUUCGGGAGUAUAUGUCAAUACUCGUUAAAUAUCAUUUUAUUUCUGAGCUGCAACAAUCGUUUUGCCAAUAACACAAGAAAACCGCAGCAACGUAACGUUUCUUUAUUGAUUCCCCACAGUGCUUGAUUACCUGUAAGCGAUCAGGUAAACUCUCGAAACCGGUCUUUCGUUUUACUGUCACAUGCAUCCACUUGCUCGAAAAUAAUACACUCGUACGAGAAGCGUACACGCCACAUUUCUUACUGACGCUUUAUCACGCGAGCAACAUUGCGCGACAGUGUAUAACGCCAGUAGAUGAGACUUACACUUCUCACCGGACGCCACACACACACAUACGCACAGAUCGAUUACCGUUCUUUCCAAGAUUCGCCCGCGAUGCAUUCAAUACGUCUCGCCGUGGACGAUAUCUCGGCGAUAUUACGAGCCUUCCACGGCGCCGGCGUGCAACAAAAAGACGCGGCGGCUCGUGCGCGUGGUUCCUGCGAGUUAAAGGAUCGCCCGUUAUAAAUAAUCGCUUCCUGCCGGCUCCUGUUUACGCCGCGCACGGCACGGUAUCCACCCCGGGCGAGAUUUUUUCGUCGAGGCUUGUACGGUCGAGGCGGUGGCGACGAGGUCGGCGGCAGCGGCGAAAAUGUCGGUCAUAAAAAUGUCCUGGUAAGGAAUGGCCCCGGCGAACAGGGAGCCAGACGAGCCCGUUCGCCGGCGACCGCACCUUCGGGAUGGCUUCUUGGUCUGCGCGAGCGGUCCCGUAUAUCGUGGGUGUGCAUCGCGCGCCCUUUCCUCGUUUAUACCGUGCACUUUACGGCGUAGGUAAGUAAGUAUGAGACCCGGCGAGUAUCCGGUCAACGGAGAAAACGGUCAUCUCGCUCCUUUCCUCAGGAGUUGAGAGGGGUUCUGCUGUUCGAAGAGACUCGUUGGUUAGCCUCGUUUGCACGCAAAUUCAGACAAAAUAACCAUUGCACGAUAUACCUACAGAUCAAUGCGUUCGAUCUCGGGGCUGAGUUUACGAUCGGUGCUGACGAAAGCGUUGGGAUGCAUUAUGCACACUUGCGUUAUAACGCGUUCGAUCGUGUACAGAGAAAGGAAGAGAGAGAGAGAGAGAGAAAAAGGGAAGGAAUCUCUACCUUAUAGCCAAAUAGUAUCUCAUGAAGCCGCGUCGUCGUGCGCAGUAAAAGUACAACGGGUUCAAGUACGACGUGUUGUAAAGUUUUACUUGAUCUCCCGCGUGUGUCGGAGCGCACAUCGCUUACAGCCCGCUGGUCCGUAAAGCGUUACUUCCUUUUCAUAGCGUAAACUUGCGCGCCGUGAAAGAUUUUAAAAGUUAGUAUUACAAAAUGCAAAUUGAUACCGACCGCGGGCGCGCAUCGAUCGAGAAGACGUUGCGCGCGCGUGUAUCAUAGGUCUCGCCGUUCUCCUUUAUAGCGGAACAUUUUAUGACGUAAGUAUAGGUUGACCAGUCAAUGCGGCAACCUGCGGGCAGCCAGAGAACGCCGGGUAUCCUGGGAGAAGGAGGAUCCGCAUGCAAAUUCGAGUAAAGUCGGCUCCGCGCGAAGCUGCCGGGCUGCAUGCAUCGAUUGACUGGCAGUGCAUCUACCAUUAUGGACUCCGGGAGGAAAUCCCGCGGGAGGCGUAUCCGAGAAGGCAAAAAGGGCGCCACGAAAAUAUUAUACUUUAGAUUAUAAUUGUUGAGAUUAACGCUGCUCUUCACUUUGUGCGCCAUGUAUCUGAAAUUAAAUGUUUCCAAAUUUGCAGAUGGCUGUAUUGCAUGCACCAUUAUCGUUUGUUCGGAACUAAGUACGUGGAGAAAUUAAACCGACAAGCACCCCGGAGGAAAAGAGAAACGUGGGCUUUCAGAGGUGGGGGUUAACCUGUUCCACGCAAAUACACAGAAAAUCGCCUUCCGAGAAGCAACCGAAGUUUAUAGAUCCUUUGACUACUCGUGCAUCAAGCGAAUCCAUGCCAAGAGAAAAACUCUCGAUAUCAGAAGUGGCAUCUCGGUGUCUGCGUUACGCACGGUCUUUUCGCGAGACGAGAGAAACACAGGAGAAACUAACGCUGUUCUCACGAGAUUACAGUGAAAUUAUAUUUUACGAUCUAUGAGAUGUAAACUGGAUAAUGCAACAGCACAUUCUAAAAUUAUAUUAGUGUAUAUAAUAUUUUAUUGUCGUACUAAUAUUAAAUCUACUAAACUCAAAAUCUUUUUUACUCGAUAUUACGAUUUUAGUCAAUUAUGAGCAACUGUAAGAAUUGUUAGUGACACACUUUCUGUCUCUAAACAUAAAAUUCUUCUCGGGCUUGAGAAAAACAAGAACAAAUAAUUUAAUACCCAUCAUAUAUAUUUUUUUACUAACGUAGUUGCGCCAGAAUGGUGCCAUUCUUUUUCGCUCGCUCCGAUCCCUUUUUGUUGCUCAUCAGCACGUCUCGUUUAUUUUCGCUAUUCCUUGCGCUUCGCUUUUUCAGCUUACGAGAGAUGCAUCGAAGUAACCCGUCGUUGCAUGCACUUUGUGUCUGGCCUAUUUUCCUGUGUGUCGGGAAACGAGGAAAAUGAUAUCCCGCUUCACUCUAUCCUUUUUUCCUUGCCUCCUUGCCACGACUCGUUCCCGGCUUUCUUUCCGUUUUACGUUGCAGUCCGCUUUUUGAGAUACGCGUCGUAGACGAGCCCGGAGACCAGUGUGCACUCGAAUGGGUAAAUUGAUACCGUCGACGGUGGUCGCUCUGUUCUAGGGCAUAUGCAGAUGCCUUGCCGCGCGCGAGAAUAUUCUGCGGUCUCUUCUCUUCCACGGAUGAGAUAUACCACGAUAAUUUGCGGCACUUCUGCCGACUGCUCUCGAUUCGCUCUUUUCAUUCCUUUCGAUUCUUGAGCGGACUUAGAACUUCGCGAUAUGAUCUAUGUUCUGCGUAUGAUCAUUAUGUGGAGGCAGAACUCUGUACCGUUAACAAUUAUUGUUUCAAGUUGUAUUUAAUAAUACGCAUGUCUACGUGUUGAAUCCAAAGUAUUCUUUUGUGCGACUUUGACAUUUUCCGAUAUCUGUAAAAUCUGUUUUUGCUCUUGCGAUGAAAAAAAGACCACGUAAAUGUUUUGUCUUGUCAUUUUUCUUCUAUUUGUUCUAGUUCGAGUUUCGGUUAAUGUGUCGCGAAUGUGCACCAAAUUUUAUAUCGGACAUGUAAAAUAAACCGAUUUAGAUGCAAAAUAGUGCAACAUUUAUCAUAUGGGCAGCAGAUGAGUUUGGAACAUAAAACAAUAUCGGAAUUAUCAUGAAUCUUUUGUACAAAUCGAUACCGUUAAUAUUAUGAACAUACACACGUAUUAUCUUAUCGCAACACAUUUGCACAAUGCACGAAACAAAAACAUGCUCGAUAAUCACAUUUAGUGCUUCAACCGCCUCCGCUUGAAAUCAUAUUUCACACAUUUAAAUCCGGCAAUCGAUAAUGCAAUAAACGCGAGAAAUUGCCACAGGAAUUUUACGCCAGCGAUAUGCGCAGAUAUAAUCAAUGCAAAAAGCUUUGAAUAAACGAAAGCUCAAGCAUUAUAUUAUCAAAACGUAAUAUCGGUUUGAAACGGAAAUGUAGAUAUUAUCGCGCAGAUCGAUCCGAAUAAACUUAUAUUUUGCACCACGCGUACGAUUGAUAUAUGGAAAAUGGGUAUUCCAGCCUAUGUGUUUCGGAUUUGAUACGCGACUUGAAUAGCACAGAAUGAAAUCCUUGCGAGCAUGCAUACGUAAGCUUUGUACGUGUAAUCUUUCGUAUUCUAAGCUAACUCGCACUCGCCUGGCCCAUUGUAUGUGUCACGGGCCGAACUUAUAUAAAAGCACCUCUUACCCCGUUACUCGAUAGUCGAAAUCCAGUUUGGGAGUUCGAAUGGCGCGCGGGAGCGAAAUGUCGCCCUUUCAAGUGUGCUUCCGCGAGAUCUACGAGGGUCGUUCUCCGCGUGGGUUGCAGUUUCCUUCCUCGAGAGGACAAGCACGUUCCAAUUAAGUGUUGCCUCUUACGGAUCUCAUCCAUUCGUAAAACUAAACCACUUAACCCAAGAACCGAGGACUUCUUUCCUGCGAACUACGAAACUAACCAGAUUAAAUCGUACUAAACUCUCGCGCCCCAUUUAAUGCAUUACAUCCCGAGCUUUCCGCAGAUCAAGCGGAAGCUCCUGAGAGUCAAGCCGCAUAGAUAAAAUCGCAACUUUCGCACGUGAAUUCCGAGGAAUUUUUAAGUGAUUUAUCUUUAUCCGCGUGUGUGUCACUUUUACCGAAAACACAUAAAUAUUCGAGAAUGGCAAUGAAUUUCUAUUUCGAGAAUCCCGAGGUAUAAUAACAAAAACUACAUAAUGAUAUAAGUCUUUUUCCUAAA